rnacentral:tRNA from 3 species
GGCGGCGUGGCCAAGUGGUCUAAGGCGCGGGUUUGCAAAACCUGUAUUCGGCGGUUCGAAUCCGCCCGCCGCCUCCA